ensembl:snRNA U6 U6 spliceosomal RNA
GCUCACUUUAGCAGAACAUAUUUUAAAAUUGGAAAGAUAUAGAGAAGAUUAGUGUGGCCUCUGCACAAAAUACUGUAGUUUCCUAAAGAAAUCUUAAACAUAUUA